AUGAAACUUUACCACAUCUCCUGGGAAAUUCUCCGGGCAGUCCUUCCAAGUCAUUUUCGGAGAUCUCGCUAUGGCAGGUAUUCCAGGACUGCCAACCUGCCGAACAGCCUCUGCAGAAACUCCGUGCACCCUUCUGUUGAGCACUCUGAGGAAGUAACAGUCUUCAGGCAGGAUCAAAAAUGGGAUUCCAUAUUACCUGCAAGCAUAAAAGCCCUAAAGACAGAAAAUGAGAAGUUAUUUAUUGUGUCACUAAUAUGUCUGCAACUAGAAGAGUCUGAGGAAAGAGCAGAAAAAACAAAUAGUAAAUCUUGUUCUGAUACAAGGGAUUAGAUCUGAUAGAGUGCCUGAAGAACUAUGGAUGGAGGUUCAUGACAUUGUACAUGAGGCAGUGAUCAAG
rnacentral:lncRNA from 1 species